CUACGGGGGGCACCAGUGGGGAAUAUUGCACAAUGGGCGAAAGCCUGAUGCAGCAAUGCCGCGUGUGUGAAGAAGGCCUGCGGGUUGUAAAGCACUUUCGAUUGGGAAGAAAAGUCUAGAGUUAAUACCUCUGGACCUUGACGUUACCUUUAGAAGAAGCACCGGCUAACUCCGUGCCAGCAGCCGCGGUAAUACGGAGGGUGCAAGCGUUAAUCGGAAUUACUGGGCGUAAAGCGCGCGUAGGCGGUUAGGUAAGUCAGAUGUGAAAGCCCCGGGCUCAACCUGGGAAUUGCAUUUGAUACUGCCCGACUAGAGUAUGGUAGAGGGAAGCGGAAUUCCGGGUGUAGCGGUGAAAUGCGUAGAUAUCCGGAGGAACAUCAGUGGCGAAGGCGGCUUCCUGGACCAAUACUGACGCUGAGGUGCGAAAGCGUGGGUAGCAAACAGGAUUAGAUACCCCCGUAGUC
rnacentral:rRNA from 1 species